CAAAAGGCUCUUCUCAGAGCCUCUACAAUACUGGUUAAAAGUCAG
rfam:Hymenolepis diminuta genome assembly, scaffold: HDID_scaffold0000059